GUGAAAAUAAGAAAUUAUCGAAUAAACUCGUUUAGACGAGAACUGCUAGAGGCAGUAA
rnacentral:ncRNA from 1 species